AAAAAGAGACUACAUCCUCUCUUUCCUUCAUCUAAGGGGUGAAGCAAGAUUAUCCUCAGUCCAAUUCUCGUGUCCAUUCAUCUUCCAUCAUCUACAUCGUAAAUCUCGAGACAACAUCUUCCAGGUAAAAACCUUCACUAGAUCUCAAACACUCUUUUGUUAAAAGAUGGGCUAACUGAUUUUCAAAGCAACUUGCAUGUUUAAGCUGAAGAAAAUUAAAACUGUUUAUCUUUUGUUUAAUGUUUCAGAUGUAGGUGCCUAUUUCAGAUCUAUCUUGUAUAUUCUUGUUGCAUUUCUUGAUGAUUUUUAGAUAAUUACCCUCUAUAACUGCUUUUGUUAACCCCAUUUCUAACCCCGUUUGUAUUACCCAUGAACAAGCAAGGGCCUCAGCUGCAAAACCCAUUCAACCUCCUCAAUAGAAUCGAUUAAGAUACCAAAACUUUACCCAAAGUAUUUCUAGCUACGAUUCUUGAUCCGGUCUGAAGCGCACUUUAUCAAAUGUUGUAUCAAACUUUAUUUUGAUUCUCGCCCCUAUAGGAGGUUCCUAUUUCCUGCCUUCACAUUGUUUGGUAACUUCCAUUACCUCGGCGUUCUCCAGUUCUGUUAUAUAACAAGAUAUGGAAGUGACAAUUUCCCUACCUGUUUUACUGAUUCUUUCGUGCAGUUUCCUGUUUCUUUCUAUCCAUAGGCUCCAUAAUGCAAUACAGAAUACUUGCCUUUAAAUAACCAAAUCUUCAUUGAAGACCCAUGUAAGCCAUUCGAAAAAUCCCUAGUCAAAAUUUGAUAUAAUCCCAUGAACCUUAGUAAAUUCCAAACUUCUAUUGUUACAGGGUAGCCAUAAAAAACUUGGUCCAAAGUUUCAUCUACACUACCAGACCUCAGACAUAUCAGACUUGACACAAGUCGUUUAAAAUACAAAUUAGCUAAAGUGGGAAUAUAAUUCUUCGAAAUUCACCACAUUGUAAUCUUGAUUUUAGCUGGAAGUUUUAGGCUCCAUAGCUUCCUAUAUAAUUCUCUAGCAUUGGUCUAUGCCUUAUUAAAAGUAGGGUAGAAAUACUAGUUUAUAAUAGUUUGUAGGAGCUUCGUACAGAAAAUCCCCCCGAAGGCUCGCCUCUCCACACCAUUACGUCUUCAUGAAGAAUACUAGCCAACAAGAUUCUCAAUAUUCUGGUCGCAUCGACACUCGAGAAAGUAUCAAAAAUAUGUUCCCUCUUCCAUUCUCUGUUUUCACUAUCAAUUAAAUCAGCAACAAGCAUAUAAUUAUCAUUGCGAACCAUAUUACUUAAUUUAUAAUCAUCUGAACCCGGAAUCCAUGCAUGAUUAAAAAUUGAAAUCUUUUCUCCCAUACCCACUCUCCAUCCAGUCCCAUCACACAACAACUUCUUCGCUGACUAAGUACCCUUCCGAGUAUACAACGCCUCAUGUUUUAAACUAACAUUGAAAAGAUCAGAUAGAGGGUAAUACUUAGCUUUCAAAACCCGAACAACUAAAGAAUUAGGAUAAUUAAUAAGUCUCUACCCUCUUUUGGUUAAAAGAGCCACAUUAAAUUUCUCAAAACUUUGAAAACCCAAACCCCAUUGCUCUGUCUAGUCACACAUUCUUUCCAAUUCACACCAGUGAAUACCCCUUUGCACUUGACCCUUCUACCACCAAAAUCUUGCCACAAUACUCUCUAUUUCCACACACAAAGACUUCGACAAUAAAAAACAAGCCAUUGAAAACAUCAGUAUGGCUUGAAGUACUGACUUUAUAAAUACCUCAUUGCCCCAUUGUGAGAGAAAUCUCGUACUCCAACUAUCUAUUUUCCUUUUCAUCCGAUCCUUCAAGAUCUGAAAUGAAGUCUUUUUAUUUCUACCCAUUAUAUUAGGAAGACCUAGGUAUUUCUUCAGGUUAUUUGAGUAUCGAACUCCCAAUUCUGUUGAUAUUUGCACUCUUACCAUAUCGGAAGUAUUUGCACUAUAAUAUACCAUAGACUUUUCAAAAUGCACACAUUGUUCUGGAUAGUCUUCAUACUCCUCCAAAAUCCAUUUAAUGACAUGUUUACCCCUCUCUAAAGCCUCUCCAAAAAGAACGCAAUCAUCUGUAAAGAGUAGAUGGGAGAUUUGGGGCCCACUCCUACUCCCCUUUACUCAUUUUACCAAGCUUUCUCUAACUACAAGUCUCAUGAGAGAAGACAACCCCUCACUAUAAAUUAGAAAUAAAAAUGGGCUUAAAAGGUCUCCUUGUCGUAAUCCUCUAGAAGGCCGAAAGAGCUCCCUCAUGAUCCCAUUAAUACUAAUAGAAUAGGAGAUCGUCAAGACACACUAAAUCACAAUAUCCACCAAAGCCUGUGCAAAACCCAUUUGUUCCAUCAUUACCCUUAGAAAAAUCCACUCAACUCGAUCACAUACCUUACUCACGUCCAAUUUUAAAGCUAUAAAACCUCUCCUUCCAAAUUAUUUUUGCCUCAAAAUAUACAAAAUCUCAUAAGCAAGCAAUACAUUAUUCGAAAUCAGACGCCCUGGCACAAACGUACUUUGAGCACUAUCAAUGCAAAUAUUAAGAGUCUUUUGAAACCAAUUAGCUACCAUUUUUGCUAUUAUCUUAUAUAACAUUACACAAGCUUAUAGGUCUAAAAUUCGCCAUAUUAGUAGGAUGAGGGAUUUUCGGUAUGAAAAUAAUAUUCGUAACAUUCACAAGGUUAAGUUCUUUACCAUCAUUUAAAACACCCAAAUAAUAGAGACUUACAUCACAUCCCACAAUAUGCCAACAUCUUUGAUAAAAUAAUAUUGGGAAACCAUCAAACCUGGUUCCUUUGUUGGACCCAUAUCCCUUAAAGCCGCAAAGACUUCUUCCUCUGUAUAUUUCCCUGUUAAUGUCGUAUUUAUAACAACUUGUUUUCAGUGGUGUCAGAAAUAGCGAUUUCGAGACCACAACUCUAACGUAAUCAUCUGUAAAUAUUAAUUAUUUAACAUUUACGAUGUUAUUAGUAUUUUAUUAAAAUUUGGAUAUGAAAUUUUAUCGUUUGGAUAGUUAAUUAAGUAAAAAGGACUAAAUCGUAAAAAUUGUGAGAGUUGGUCUCCAUUAGUUAAGGUUAUUAAAUAGCUAUAAAAAAUUAAUUAAGGGACUUGAGUGGUAGCUAAGCCAUUUAUUAUGGGCGAUAGUGGGUUUAAAAUUUAUGAAUGUCAAUUGUUUAUAAAAGGGGUAAAUAUGUAAUUAGGUAAAUAACCUUAUUAUAGCAAAAUAUGCUAAAAUCAAAUGUCAUUUUCUUCUUUACAAUUCAACACCAAAAAACCCUAGAGGAGAAAAGAACAUAUUUGGCCAAACUUUGGCUUGGUCUUUAGGUAAGCAAACUUUGUCCAUUUUUAGUAAUUUUUAUGUUUUUGAGCUUAUAAUGGUUUAAUCUAGCUAACCGAGGACCAAUUUAUAAAACUGUUAAAAGUUAUAAUUUUUUCCAUUGAUGAGUUGAGCAGUUAAUGAAUGUUUGUGGAAGAUUAAUAAGCCUUGUUGUUAGAUUAAACUAUUUUGCAUAGUAAUUCUUUAUGAUUUUAAUGUUAAAGGAAUAAAUUGUUAAAGAUGAUAAAUUAAAAUGACUUGUUGUAAAUUAACAACAUAUAUCAACUGUCUUGAGAUUUUAAGAGGUUCGGUUAUGUUGGGUUCUAAGUAGAAAUGGUGGAAUUGUAUGAUUAUGGCUUAGAGAUUAAAUUGAAUAAAAGUGAAAAGUUGAGGGAAAUUUUGUAAAAUGUCAAAAGGACUUAAUUGUUUUAAGUGAUUUAAUUUUUUUUGUUGAAUUAGUUAAUUGAAUAAAAUUAUUGUGUUAGAUCAAGAACGAGUUGGCAAUCGUGGAAAAGAAAAGGUUGUUGUGUAGUCCUUGUACUUUGGCAUUUCUACAAAUUAGUCCUAUAAGUUCGUAUGGUUAUUUAUAUUUCUAUUGAUUCUUGUAUAUUAUAUUUUAAUAUAAUGUUAUAAUUGAUAUUGUACGUAGUAUGACCUUGAAAAUGAAUAAAGUGGAAUACGGCUUUUCUAUCAGGCCUUAGGUCGGAGAUUACUGUCAAGGUUUAAAACAGUGAUAUAAGCUGUAGCGAUGGCUUGAGGUCCUGCAUGUGUUGCAGAUUCACUACAGCUUAUGUGAGAAACAUCAUGAACCGAUUAAAAUACUGAAUGUUAGCUCAAAUGAGCUAUAUCCACUAAUUAUGUGAAAUAAAGAGCUCAUGGUACUAAUGAUUCAGAAAUAUACACUGAAGUAAUGCUCUGAUUAUUAAUUGUCUAUUGAGAAUGGUGAUUGAGGGGAAUUACAUUGCUCAAUUACAAAUUUGAUUUAUCUUGUUUAAGUUGGUAAGGUUUUUCGUUUAAUCAAACAAACUUACUGAGCUUUAUGUAAGCUUACCUGUAUUUGGUUCUAUUUUUGUAGAUUACGUUUUAUAGAAUUAGAAAAUCAAGUCAACUCGGGAAAUCACACUAUCCGGAAACCUUUG
rnacentral:lncRNA from 1 species